rnacentral:rRNA from 1 species
GUCGUAACAAGGUUUCCGUAGGUGAACCUGCGGAAGGAUCAUUAUCGAAAGAAAAGGUCCUUCGGGUUGUUGCUGGCCGCCCUAGGGAGGCAUGUGCACGCCCGUUGGGCCGUAUCCUUCUCUACCCCUGUGCACCUCUGCGUGGGUUCGUCGGCGUGAGCCUUCGGAUCCGCGUCUUAUCUAUAAACCCUUAUGUAUGUCUUCAGAAUGUCUAAUGCGAUAAAAAGCAUCUUAUACAACUUUCAACAACGGAUCUCUUGGCUCUCGCAUCGAUGAAGAACGCAGCGAAAUGCGAUAAGUAAUGUGAAUUGCAGAAUUCAGUGAAUCAUCGAAUCUUUGAACGCACCUUGCGCCCCUUGGUAUUCCGAGGGGCACGCCUGUUUGAGUGUCGUGAAAUUCUCAACCCUUUCUUUUCUUGACCGAAAGGAUUGGGCUUGGACUUGGAGGUCUUGCCGGCAUCCCCACCGCGCCUUACGGCGAGGAGGGGUUCGGCUCCUCUCGAAAGCAUUAGUGAGACCCCUUGCGGCCUCGGUGUGAUAAUUGUCUACGCCGUGGGCUUAGCUGUAGCGGGACCCGCUUCGAACCGUCUCUUCACGGGACAAUUUCUUUAUGAAACUUGACCUCAAAUCAGGCGGGGACUA